UCUUAGUANCGGCGAGCGAAAAUAUCAUUAACGUUAUACGGGCCUGGCACCCUCUAUGGGUAAAUGGCCUCAUUUAAGAAGGACUUAAAUCGUUAAUUUCUCAUACUAGAAUAUUGAUGUUCCAUACACUGCAUCUCACAUUUGCCAUAUAGACAAAGUGACUUAGUGACUGAACUGAUUUCUUUUCGCUCGCCGCUACUAAGA
rnacentral:rRNA from 1 species